rnacentral:rRNA from 1 species
AUGAACGCUGGCGGCGUGCCUAAUCCAUGCCCGUCGAACGGGGAGUAGCAAUACUCUUAGUGGCGAACGGGUGAGUAACGCGUUGGUACCUGCCCCGAAGCGGGGGAUAACGGACCGAAAGGUCCGCUAAUACCCCAUGUGCUCGGUAACGAGUAAAGGUGAAAACCACUUUGGGAGGGGCCUGCGUCCCAUCAGCUAGUUGGUAAGGUAACGGCUUACCAAGGCGAUGACGGGUAGGGGACCUGAGAGGGUGGCCCCCCACAAUGGAACUGAAACACGGUCCAUACACCUACGGGUGGCAGCAGUAGGGAAUAUUGGUAAUGGGCGCAAGCCUGAACCAGCAACGCCGCGUGGGCGAUGACGGCCUUCGGGUUGUAAAGCACUUUUGACGGGGACGAGGAAGGACGGUACCGGUCGAAUCAGCCUCGGCUAACUACGUG